rnacentral:lncRNA from 10 species
AUGACUGUAGCAUAGACUCUGGACUUAGCCCAAGAUCACAUUUAUUAGCUAUGAGAUAGAUAUGAUUUGGCUCUGUGUCCCCACCCAAAUCUCACCUUGAAAUAUAAUAAUCCCCGCGUGCCAAGGGCAGGACCAGAUGCAGAUAAUUGAAUCAUGGGGGCAGUUUCCAUCAUGCCGUUCUCACGAUAAUGAGUGGGUCUCAUGAGAUCUGAUGGGUUUAUAAGAGGCAUCCCCCUUCGCUCGGCACUCAUUCUCUCUCCUGCUGCCCUGUGAAAGGGCACCUUCUGCCAUGAUUGUAAGUUUUCUGAGGCCUCCCCACCCCUGCAGAACUGUGAGUCAAUUAAACCUCUUUCCUUUAUAAAUUACCCAGUGUCGGG